rnacentral:rRNA from 1 species
CCUACGGGAGGCAGCAGUGGGGAAUAUUGGACAAUGGGGGGAACCCUGAUCCAGCCAUGCCGCGUGUGUGAAGAAGGCCCUCGGGUUGUAAAGCACUUUCAGUGAGGAAGAACGCCUGGUGGUUAAUACCCAUCAGGAAAGACAUCACUCACAGAAGAAGCACCGGCUAACUCCGUGCCAGCAGCCGCGGUAAUACGGAGGGUGCGAGCGUUAAUCGGAAUUACUGGGCGUAAAGCGCGCGUAGGUGGCUUGAUAAGCCGGUUGUGAAAGCCCCGGGCUCAACCUGGGAACGGCAUCCGGAACUGUCAAGCUAUAGUGCAGGAGAGGAAGGUAGAAUUCCCGGUGUAGCGGUGAAAUGCGUAGAGAUCGGGAGGAAUACCAGUGGCGAAGGCGGCCUUCUGGACUGACACUGACACUGAGGUGCGAAAGCGUGGGUAGCAAACAGGAUUAGAUACCCCUGUAGUC